rnacentral:lncRNA from 7 species
GACCAUAUGCUAGCAGUAGCAUACAAGCCCCAAGCUUUUCUUGAGCUCCACAAAUUUCCAUUGCCGCGCGCGCGCGUUUAAGCUAGCUGUGUCCACCGAUCAACUGCAACUCUCACACACGUCCACCUGCAAUUGCUGCAAAACAAUGGCUCCUCGCAGCGCCUACGUGCCCGUGUGCCUUGUUGCCCUGCUCCUGCUCGCCAGCCUUAGACCGUCCAGCGCGCGGCUGCUCCGGCCGCCGAGCGGCGGCACCAAUGAUAUCCCCCGGAAUUAAAAGGAACCGGUGGCCGUAGUAGUUGUACACGCAUGGACCCCGGCCAGAGCCCACAGGAAGUAGAUAAUAGUUGGUGACUUUUGGUGGUAUGUUGUUAUUGGUUUUAGUCAUAACGCAUAACAAGAUUUUGGUGUACAAAAUUCAUCAGAUUGGGGUAGACCAGUCUCUACAUGCGUAUAGUAUAGGCGUAAAGUCUAAUAGCUUCUUUCUUUGUAUCCUUGUUUAUUUUAAGUUAGCUGAUAUAUCUACACUAUUAUAUAC